UACGUAGGUGGCAAGCGUUGUCCGGAUUUAUUGGGUUUAAAGGGUGCGUAGGCGGCUUUGUAAGUCAGUGGUGAAAUAUGGCAGCUCAACUGUCAGGGUGCCAUUGAUACUGCAGAGCUUGAGUACAGAUGAGGUAGGCGGAAUUGACGGUGUAGCGGUGAAAUGCUUAGAUAUCGUCAAGAACACCGAUAGCGAAGGCAGCUUACUGGGCUGUAACUGACGCUGAGGCACGAAAGUGUGGGGGAUCAAACAGGG
rnacentral:rRNA from 1 species